ensembl:lncRNA
GUUAGCUAGCCGUUAUGUUAUUCUUUUACUAAAGCUCUUUUUGUGUUUGUUCCAGAUCAAUGAACAGCUUUGUCACCAACACAUUGACAGUGGCCGCUGCAAGUUUGCAUAGGAAUGGAUUGAUGAGGAGAGUUUUCUUCUUUUAGAUGAGGCUACCAUCAGCCAGUUGAUCCCAAGAGCUGGCCCAAGGCUUAAGUGCCUCAAAAAUUUUAAAGGACUUGUUGAACCUGCUGUUACACCUACAAGCUCUGAUGUCACACCAACUGCCACUCCUCCAACCCCCAUGGAGGAAGAAGCAGCAGUUGCGGUUGUUGAAAGCCUUGAUGAGGAUAAUGUCAUCACAACUUGCCAGAGACGUCUCCUCACCCGUAUCCUGGUGUCUCACCUCAUUGAGAAGUUUGGAUAGAAUCCUGCAAAAAGAGACCAAAAAGGCCAUGGCAUCCAGUUUGAUUCAGUCAUUUCCCAGUUUAAGAGACGGA